CAAAGACGUUUGUUCUACUAGUAGCUAUAAAUAGGUCUGAACUAUAUAUAGCUUUGGGUUUGUGUGCAAAAUUAUUAGAUGUACUGUACAAGCUUCACUUCAGUGUAGCUGUUGGCAGUAUAAAUCAGAUGGCUUUUAUGUCACAACUCUCUUUCCCAGCAUGCAGCUCGGGCGCGCGCUUUCACACACGGACAGACAGACAGAGAAAGAAGCUCAUUGAUUUAGUAAUGUGAGGGUUUCACCAUGGACACGUUUGUCACAGAGACGUUGACUGCAUGGCAGCUUGAGAACUUGAUUGACACAUUUAAAGGGAGCUUGGUACACACCUGGCCGAAAUCACAAACCUGCUACAGGUUUCCUGGAGGAGCGCUUGAGGAACGUCAGGAAGCGCAUGAGAAUGCUGAAACGACCACGCCACCAAGAACAACAGGAGGAACAGACACCUAGUACACCAGAAUCUGAUGUGCCUCCUGAAAAACUUCUAGAAAUGGUUGAAUGGAUGAAGGUCAAUAGGUAGGUCCCCUAACCCUUUUCCUAACAGGUACUACAAGCCCAUAUCAUUUCUUUAAACACUGUUCUAUUGUUUU